CGAUUUGAAUUUUGAAUGUGCAAGGCAUGAAGUGGGAAACAUGUGAUCUUUGGAUUUGGCUUCCUUAAUAAGCUUGAUCUUGAAAUCCAAAAUCUGAAUAUGAAUCUUGGGGAUUUGACUUUCAAAAUACUUUCCUCAUUUGGCUCUCCAUAUAUGGCAGCUUUGGAUAUGCCUUCUUGAAUAAGAAAAAGGCUUCUUGGAG
rnacentral:lncRNA from 1 species